CCACAUACACAAAGCACAGGCGAGCACUGCUUAGCACUGCCCGCGCUGAAGCUCUGGAGAAGCCCCGCGGUGAGCCCUCAGCACCGACUGCAGUAAACGUCGGACCCUGACAGAGGAUCCCGCUCCUGCGACACCGAGGUGGACGACUCAAGUUGGUCCCAAGAAAGAAUGUAAAGCCUUACCACGCACCGAAAUCUGCUGACACCCCCACACCAGACAGUUCCUCUACAAGCACAAGCCAAGAAGCCAGCACCCAGACCUGAACCACGCUGCGUCAUCAAAAGAAAAAUGGACUUUCUAUUGUUUAAUGCGUGCAUAUUGUUUUUGUUCUUCUGUUUCAGUUUUUAUAUUGAAGUUUUACUUAUAAUUCAACCAAGAACAAAUGCCGAGUAGCUUUAGCCAAGCCUGCAAGCUCUAAGACCACCUAUAUAUCUAACACGAACCCUAACAAACCUUUUUCAACCCGUUUAAUUAUAAGACCUUUUCCAAAAAAAAUUCUGACAAUGCCUCCCCUACUAUAAUCAGUGAUUUAAUAACAAUAAAGCCAUCUCAGCUACACAGUUGACUUAAUGGUUCGAGACUUGCACCGUGGCUAAAGGAACUCUGUAAAAUAAGCUUAACUGUUUCAGUAGCAAUAAGUAUAGUUCUAGUAACAAUACCCUGUACACCUCCAAGUGUGCAGAAAAUAGUUGUUAAAUCAAUAUCUAAUAUUUCAAA